UACGUAGGGCUCGAGCGUUGUCCGGAUUUAUUGGGCGUAAAGAGCAUGUAGGUGGUUUCCUAAGUUGAAUUUCAAAGCCCGGGGCUUAACUCCGGUUCUGGAUUCGAUACUGGGAAACUUGAGGAUAGUAGGGGCAAGCGGAAUUUCCGGUGUAGCAGUGAAAUGCGUUGAUAUCGGAAAGAACACCAAUGGCGAAGGCAGCUUGCUAGGCUAUUUCUGACACUGAGAUGCGAAAGCGUGGGGAGCGAAC
rnacentral:rRNA from 1 species